rnacentral:lncRNA from 1 species
AGAAUUAGUGACCUACUAGUGAAUUACCCGCACGAUGCUGCGGAUAUAAAAUUAUUUUUAUAAUAAAUUUUAUUUUUUUAAUAUUUUUAUAAAGUUUUAUAAGUCUAAUUAUAAUUAAACAAAAAUUAUAUAAAAAUAAUUUAGUAGUUAAAUCUAUUUAAAUAAAAGUCAUUAAAAUUGAUAUAUGCGCAAAGUAAAUUUAUAUAAUCAUUUAUUUUAUAAAGAUAGGUAUGAAAAGAAUUUUAGAUAAAUCUAUCAAAAUAAUUUUAAAAAAUCAAUAAAUAGAAGAAAAAUAAAAUUGUAAAUGAAAUUGUUUAAUAAAUUAAUUAUAUAUACACAAAAAUACACUAUAUUUCUAAAAUUUUACUCCUAAAAUUUAAAUACUAUAUUUAUUUUAUACAACGAUAUUUUACGUGAUUUAAAUUGUAUCUAUCAAGUUAGAUUUUAUUAUGUGAUUUAUUACGCAUAUUAUUAAUAAAUUAAUUAAUUAUAUUAUAAUUUAAUUAAUUAUUAUAAUUUAGAAUUUAAAAUUAAAAUUUUGAAAAUUUUAAAAUUUGAAAGUAUCAAAACUUUAAAUUUUCACAUCAAAAUUUAAUUACUAAUAAGCUGUUAUACAAUUUAUUAAUAAAAUUAAUUUUAUAUAUAUAUAUAUAUAUAUAUAUA